GACGAACGCUGGCGGCGUGCUUAACACAUGCAAGUCGAGCGGAAAGGCCCUUCGGGGUACUCGAGCGGCGAACGGGUGAGUAACACGUGAGUAACCUGCCCUCAGCUUUGGGAUAACCCUCGGAAACGGGGGCUAAUACCGAAUAUUCACAUUGGACGGCAUCGUUUGGUGUGGAAAGUUUUUCGGCUGGGGAUGGGCUCGCGGCCUAUCAGCUUGUUGGUGGGGUAAUGGCCUACCAAGGCGACGACGGGUAGCCGGCCUGAGAGGGCGACCGGCCACACUGGGACUGAGACACGGCCCAGACUCCUACGGGAGGCAGCAGUGGGGAAUAUUGCACAAUGGGGCGGAAGCCUGAUGCAGCGACGCCGCGUGAGGGAUGACGGCC
rnacentral:rRNA from 1 species